rnacentral:misc_RNA from 1 species
AAAUGUGCACAGAUUGUUAAGGUUUGUUAAUGGCCAGUUCAAGCCUCUUCUUCAAAGCCUUGAUGCAAUCUAGGGUUUUCUGCCUUCUGUUUCCCCCUUUUAAACAAGGAAUAUCACGUCACUUUGUACCUAUGCUUAAUACCUACAGAUUGUAUUCUAAACAACUGUAUUCUAUCUGUAGCAAAUUGGGAACUAUUUAAAAUUUAUUGGUUUACCUUCAUAUGUGGCUAAUUGAUAAGCCUCAACUAUGUAAAGUAUAAAGCCUUAUA